CAAGAUCAGGAGGUCAAGGAAAGUGGCCUCAUAUCUUACUUUAUCAGUCCUCCUGGAGAAACCUUGAGGUGUGAGUUGGAGCUGGUGUGGGACUCAGAGUCAGGCUGGCCUGACACCUGACCUCUGCAUCCAGGCCUGCCUUUGUGCACAGUGUGGUUUAGGUAGAUGUGCCUGUGAUAAUCUGAAUUACGAUUACUUGUUGACAUUUAUCAAAAGCAUUUGAAAUGCUCAUUUUAUUUAUUCUUUUGAUUUAAUUAUAGUUAUGUGUUUUCUACUGUAAAACCAUUAUGGCCUUCCUAAAUGUAAAGGAAGCAGAGGAAAUAAAGAAAGUCCUUUCGUUUUCAGAAGAUUGAUGAGCUAGAUUGGAAACCUAAGAAGAAUAUCCAGACAAAUAUUGUAAGAGUUGGAGAGUUAAUCAGGUUUAAUGGAUCAAUAUAUAAAGUAAUUACACUUCUUUCUCUUUCUCCUUUUUUUUUUUUUGCUUUUUAGGGCCAAUCUAUGGCAUAUGGAAGUUCCCAGGCUAGGGGUCCAACUGGAGCUUCAGCUGCCGGCCUACACCACAGCCACAGCAAUGCCAGAUUCAAGCCCCAUCUGCAACCUACACCACAGCUCACAGCAACGCUGGAUCCUUAACCCACUAAGCAAGGCCAGGGACCUAACCCACAUCCUCAUGGAUAGUAGUUGGGUUCACUACCACUGAGCCAUGAUGGUAAGUUCACACUUCUCUCCUAACAAGAAACUAGGUGAGAUGUUCACAGGUGGCCAUUAAGGGACUUUGUGAUAGUUCAGAGGUCUCGUCAGGCCAGGAGUCAAAGCUGAUUCCAUAGCCCACCAAGGGAUGGCCCUGCUUGAGGGCUGCCUGGAGAAUUCAUGGCCAGGAGCCAGUGGCAGGUGUAGCCCUAUGGUGUCACUGUGCUCACAUGAGGCAGGAUCAGGAGAAAACUGAGUCCCAUGUGCCUGCCCUCCUCACAGUCUCAUUUGUAAGAAAAUGACAUUGUCAGAACCUCAAAUGGCCUCUACAACAACUGAAAAUGGUCUGGCCUGGAACAAGCUCACAGGCAAGCUGACAUGAGACCAGAUGCUGGGAUAGCCACCCACAGGAACCACAGAAGUUCAGGGCAGAUGCAGGGAGGAAGAUGCUGGUCUAUGCCCCCUACCAUGCUAGCCUCUGUCUGUUGAUGGUUAGAGGUCAGCAGAGCUCCAGAUGGACAUGUUGGGCUUGAGUAACACUGAGACCUGGGAAGUCUCCACACAGAGCUGGUUCUCCUUGUCAGGACUCUCAGGACUGCAGCUGUGCAGGUGGCAGAGUUAGAGGACAGGCAGAGAUGCUCUGCAGAUAGAAUAAAUGUUUUCCACAGUCCUGUGGUGAGGGGGAAACAAAGUCCAGGCAGUGAAAGGGGCACUGGAGAGAGCAUUAGCGGGGUGAAUUGAGGACUAGGAAGGCCUUUCCAAGGGCAUUUGCCAGUUCUGGGCAUCCUAUCAGUCAGGUUGUGGAUUAGCCUGGAUGUGAAUGGCUGGAAAAGAGGGACCAGCAGAGUGCUAGCAGCUUGUUGGGCUGGGUGACAAGCUGGAGUUUCUUCAAAGACAAAGACUGUUUCCCUAAAAGGAGAAAUUCUGAAACUUUAGACAGCAGAUUAAGGUCCAAGACAAAAAUCUCAAGAGGCAAACAUUUUCCAGCUAUCUUUGAAGAGGGGCCAACAAGUAUGGUCUGUGGAGGCCCUUGGGAAACAUACAGAAUUUUUCUGAAGUUCCUGGAGCUGUGAUGAGAUUGCACAGUUUUGGUCCUGAGUAGUCCCCUUAUAACUAAGGUCAUCCAUCAGAUCAGACCUGUUGCCUGUCUACAAAAAGACCUCCUACAGCUUCCACCAUUUUUAUGCAAAGCAACCAGGCAUUCAAGCAAAACUUACUAGGCCUGUAAGACAAAGGAUCGAGGACACCCACAUCAGAGGAAAAAGAGACAGUGGAUAGACUUGCCUUUGUAAAACACCCCAAGGGGUAAGGAGGAAGCAUGCUAGCAGCCCCCAUUCCUAUUGUCCCCCAGACAUAGGUAUCUCUGGUCAGUGCCAGUAAAUGUGCCCAUUCAUGGGGGGCUGUGCUUAUAAGUCCAGUUGCCAAAGACUGAUUUGGGGGCCUCACCAGCCAUCUCCCUGACCAUCAGAAUGAUGUCCCUUGCUUCAUUCCUUUCCUCUUUGGGACCUCUGUCCUGCUUGGUGGCUACCUCUUCCCAGUUACUUGUCUAUGCAUUACUUUAUGCUCAUUUAUUACCAUACCAGUUCCCUUCCCCCCUUCACCUGAUGCAAGGUGCAUUUUUAUUGCAAUGUGUUCUUGCAAUGUAUGUAUUAUUUUUCUGUGUGCCUGCCUUUUUUAAAGUUGGGUGAGACACAUAUAUGAAUUUAACCAUUAUCCAUUUAAAAGUGAAAAAAAGUGAACAGGGACAUUAAGUAUACUGGGACUAUUGUGCAACCUUCAUGUAAUUCUAAACAUUGUCAUCAUCCCAAAAGGAAAACCCAUAUGCAUUAGUAGUCACACCCGACUCACUCCUCAACCUAAUUCCUGGCAACCACUAAUUUGCUUUUAGUCUCUUUGGAUUUACCUCUUGUGGACAUUUCAUAUAAAUGAAGUCAUACAAUAUGUAUCCUUUUGUGAUUGGCUUCUCUGACAUUGCUUGUUUUCAAGGUUCAUCCUCGUUGCAGUAUGUAUCAGAAUUUUGUUCCUUUUCAUGGCUGAAUUCCACUGUGUGAAAGAACCGCAUUUUGUUUAUCCAUCCAUGAGUUAAUGGACAUUUGCACUGUUUCCACCUUUUGGUUAUUACUCAAUGCUGUUUUGAAUAUUUUUGUACAAACAUUUGUUUGAAUAGGUGUCUUAAUUUCUCUUGAGUACAUACCUAGGAGUGGAAUUGUUGGGUCGUAUGUUAAACACAUGCUUAACUUUUGGAGGAAUGACCAGACUGUUCUCCCCAGCCACUGAGCCUAUGCAAUUGCAUUUUUAGUUUACAUGAACAGUAUGUGUUUAGUUUUCAUUCUGUUCUAUUUUAUUCUCCAUAUGUGAGAUGUAUAAGGUUACCUGUGUUGUUACGUGUGCCCUUAGAUCCUGCCUUCACCUGCCUCUCAGCUCUUUACAGGGUGAACUCAUCACACUAAUGGUGGGCAGCCACCUAAAUUGCCACCCUUACUUCCCUAUCCCAGCUCUCAAGUCACAGUGUUGUGAAUCCUGCCCUGUUUCUUUCAUGAUCUGUGGGGGAAAGAGAUACAGGUCAGGCAGCAACUUGUUAGGUCCUAGUAUGUGUGUAUAUAUCCAUCUCAAGUAGCAGCCCCUGCAUGUCCUGGAAGGCCAGAGCCAGUGGACAUUCCUAGCAGCAGUGGUUGGUUAUAAGGCUGAGUAUCUUUGUGGGUAUAAGGCAACUUGUCAGAUUUCUUCAUACAUAAAUUGAGUUUUCAUGCUUUAGUCCAUUUUCUAUUGGAGUUGUUGCCUUUUCUGAUUGAUUUGUAAGAUCUCAUUAUGUAUUAGACAUUAUUCACUUAUUGGUUUUAGACAUUUCGGACUUUUUAUAUUCUUUCAGUUGUCCAUUAACUUUGUCCAUGCGGACAUCUUCAUUGAAAAGAUGUUCUUUAACUUGUUGGAAUUAAAUGACUAUUUUUUCCCCAGAUGGUUAGUUCUUUGAAACACACAGGAGCUUUGUACAAGAAGCUCUCCACAUUUGGUUGCAAAAAUAUUCUGCAUUUUUGAUUAAGGUUUAUUUUUUAGAUUUUUUGUUUAGGUCUUUAAUUGACCUAGAGUCCACUGCCAUAGGUGGAGCUGGUAAAACCCAGUUUUAUUUCCCAUCCUGUGGUAAGCCCCUCUUCCUGAUGCAAUCUACACUAAACAGCCUGGCCUCUCCUCAUCCGGGUCUCUUUCAGCUCUCUGUUCUCUACCAUUAGCCUAUUUGUCUUUCACCAAAAUCAAAAUUUUGUUAUGAAUACCACCACGGCUUCAAAGGAGGUAUUCAUUUAUAUUCUCACACUUCUAUUUCAAGUUGACUUAGCUAUUUAAAAACCUUUAUUCUACCAUAUAAAAACCUUUAUUCUACCAUACACAUUUUAAAAAUUAAAUUUAUGGAGUUUCUUUUACAAACAGACAUUUUGGGGUUUUGAAUUUAUAGAUUUAUUUGGGAUAAAAUGAACAUUUAUUAGUGUUACAUUGUCUCAAUCACGAGCAUGUGAUGUCUUUUUAUCUUUCAUUUCACCUUCUAUGCAUUUAUUAGAGUUGGGAAGUUUAUAGAAGCAUUCUAUGUUCUUAGUUUCAUUUAUGUUUUCUGGUUAGUUAACACUGUUGCAAGAAAUCCUAUUGAUUUUUGCAGGUUGCUUGUCUGGCAAACUUGGUGAAUUUUUAAACAUUGUUUUCAUAGUUUGUUGAUUCUGUUAAUUUUUCUUGAAGGAGAGGCUAUCCUAUCAUCUGAAAUAAUAUCAGUUUUACUUCACUUUCAGUCCUUCCUCUACUACAGCCUUGGCUAAGAUGCCAACAUACUUUAUGGCACUAAAUAGAGUGCUGAACACUCUUUCAGGGUUACCAUUCUGGACAAGGCUGCACAGAGAUGUUUUCCAACAGUGAAUGUUCUCAGGUUUGCACGGAGCCUAUGCCAAAGCAGGUUGUUUCCCUAGUCUAUACCCAGUUUCCCCAGGUAUAUUUUAAUAAAAAGUAGAGUUGAGUUGAAGCUUAUGAAAUAUCUUCUGCAUUGAUUGGGAUAAACAUAUGAUUUUUCUGUUAAUCAAUUAAUAGGUUUUCUGCUUUUGUAAAUGGCUAAGUAUCAGACCAAAAUUCCUGCAAAUAACAAUGUGAAUAAAAUGUAAAAAUCACAACCACUUGAAGAACUGACUUUUUUUUUUGGCUGUGCCCAGAGCAUGUGGAAAUUCCCAGGCUAAGGAUCAAACCGGUGACACAGCAGUGACAAUGCCAGACGUACUUAAAAGUUUGACGACCAGGGAAGUCCUCAGAAUACCACCUUUUGACCUUAUAAAUCAUAUUUUACCAUAUGUUUAGUUCCUAUUGAAUUAAUAGAAUACAAUUUUUUUUUACCAGCCUAACCACUCAUGAUUUUCACUGGAGUGUCUGGUACACUUACAUUUAGUGUAACUGCUGGUUUGUUUGGUUUAAAUCUACUACUUUGUUCCAUGCUUCCUACCCUUUCCCUUUCUCUGGUUCAUUUUCUCUUCUUUCUUGCCUCCUUUGGAUUGACUGAUGAAGUUCUGCACUUCCACAUAAAAAAUAUUUAGAAUUAUAACUUUUAGUCUUGAUUUAAUCAAGGUCUAAAAUUAACCAGUCUUUUACUCAUCCUGGAUAAUACAAGGCCUUAGAAUACCUUAGCUCACCUCUUCCACCCCAAUUAUAUAUUGUUAUGUAGUCCUUUAAUCCUAUCUUUUAUAAAACACCAUGAAAUAGUACUAACUUUUUUUUUUUUUACCAUCAGUGUUCUUUUGUAUUUGCAAAGUUAACAUUCUUAAGGGUACAACUGAUUGGAUCUUACAUAUGGAUGUCCACUUGUAACAAUCAUUCAGAGUUACAUACAGAACAUUUUCAGUAUUGAGAAGUCCCAGUUCACACCCCUCAGGUUAGCCACUCUUCUACUUUUACCACAUGGAUAGAAAUCACAAAAAAUGCAGUGAUCCUAGGUUUUAGCACUGGACUGAAAGAAGGAAUGGAGACCAUUAAGGGAAGUAUGUGGGUGAAUAAGAAAGAAUAUCAAAGGAUGAAUGGAUAAAAAAUAAGAGAGGCAUUCCCAUCCUGGUUCAGUGGUAACAAAACUGACUAAUAUCCAUGAGGACUCAGGUCUAAUCCCUCACCUUGAUCAGUGGGUUAAGGAUCCAGCAUUGCUGUGAGCUGUGGUUUGGUUGCAGAUGCAGCUCAGAUCCCACAUCGCUGUGGCUGUGGUAUAGGCCAGUAGCUACAGCUCUGAUUUGACCCCUAUCCAUUUAAUCAUUGCAAUUUGCAACAUUGAAAAUCCUCUAUACUUCAAUGAAAAAUAAAAAAAUCAUUUGACCCCUAGCCAUAUGCAGCAGAUGCUCCC
rnacentral:lncRNA from 1 species